rnacentral:misc_RNA from 1 species
UUUCCGUAGGUGAACCUGCGGAAGGAUCAUUAGUGAAUAAACAAGUGCAGGUUGUGCUGGCCUUCUUGGUAUGUGCACGCCUGCCAACGUUUCAUUCUAUCUUCCCACCUGUGCACUAUGUGUAGAUUCUGUAUGCUAUUGUCAAGCCUUUUAUUAGGCUUGGUUGAGAGGAGUUGCUUGUUCUAUUGGACAAGCUCUUCCUGGGUAUGCAGGUCUAUGUUUUAUAUCAACACCAUAUGAAUGUAAUAGAAUGUGCUUUGGGCUUUUAGCCUUUAAAACAUAUACAACUUUCAACAACGGAUCUCUUGGCUCUC